AGGAAAAGGUCUACCCAAGCCCCCACCAAAAUAUGCCCUGACGCACCAGAAAACCUGUGCCUCUGCUACCAAGAAGCAAAAGGCUAAACGCAGCACAAGCUGCAUUUGAGAAAGGUAUUCUAAUUGUAAAAACAACUGGCAUGAUGCUGUCCAAUCUUUAAUUGCAGAGAAUCAUCUUGGUCUCUCACGUGGCUUAACAACGAAGCAUGAAGGCUCGAGGUCUCAUUCUGUCAUCUUAAUUGAGGGAUCCCCGUCACCAAGUCGGACCUUUUUCCUGUGACAGACACAAGUAUGAAACUCUCCAUUUAGAAUGUUAUAUUUGGAAGUGGAUCAAUCUAAAAUAACCUUGUUUCAGGAAAUGUACAUUUAAAGGAAAGUCGCCCUACUCUGGUUGAGGAAUUUGACUUCAACCUGAACGAGACAGAGGAAGAUUUACUAAAGGUAAAAGAGCAGCUAACGGAGAAUGAUUUUCGAAAAAUACAUGAAUCCCGACGAACGGCCUCAUGUCAACGAUGAAUAUGAAAGGAAACAACGGGAAGAGGGCCUUUGCAGCGUCAUUAUUAGCAGGCGUGAGUCUUGGCGAAUCAAAGACUACAGGCGAUGUCAACCUGCCUGAAAUAUGCACCUGACCGCAAGGGGGGCAGUGGGAAGGCCAAUGAGUAAUGGGAAGAAAGAUCUCUUAAGAAGUUAAAAACAGCGAAGCUUCUUCCAACUGUGUCUUUUCUUGGGGUUUAUUGUAUUUUUACAUUUGUGUUUCCAGAAGCUUUUUUGGGGCUUGUACAUCUAUUGAGGUGCAAUACAUUUUCUUUCAAACUUUUCUUGAUUUUGACAAAGAAAAAUUGCAUAACAGUUUUUACAUGGACAAAGGUUUACACAAUGCUGUUCCAAAUUACUGCUCUAAUGGUGAUAGACAGAAUUUGUAUGGAAGCAACAACUACUGCUGAGGCUUAAUAGAUGUUGGAGGAUACAUUUGUAGAAGGUAUUUGACUACGGACUUUCUGUGCCCAAUCAUUUCCCCUUGCUGAUGACUGUCAAAUCCCUGACACUGCACUGACCCCUUCCUUUAGGCCUCCGUGAACUCUGCUCCUCAUCCUAAAGCUUCUUAAAUCCUACCCAAGGUGAAUCCAUUCAUUCAAACCCUCUCUCCAUGUUAAUUCAAUUUCAUGCUGGUUCACGCUUCUUCACUCUCCCCACUUCUCCACUUAAAUCCUAUAUUCCAUAACUCCUCACAAUUUCGUUUCCCUGAAGAGUGUAAAACUCGCCCACUCUGACACAAGCAACUGUAAAAGAGGUCGGGGCAAUUUCUUGAGGCAUAAAUUCUCAUUAAAACUACGGCACUGUAACGCUUGAAAUGAAUAGGCGUUUUUUUUUCGCCUCCAUGUUCAGAAAAUCUCUCAUUAUAAGUAUGUGAGCAUCCCGAAGGAGAAGGAACAACAGAGGAAGCUAGAGGGACUCAUGGUUCAAUAUGAAGCAUGUACCGUAUAUUAAUCAGACAGUUAGCUGAGCCUGACUUGCAUUAAAUCGUCUGUAUCAAUGAAACUGGAACAUUGUCAAUUAGAUCACAAACACCCUCCGCUCAUUAAAAGCUACUGUUGCCCACCCAUGCUUUUCUUUUCUCUUAUAGAAAGGCCUCCUUAUGUCUCUUCAACAUUUGAGGUCAAGUCUUAUAGCUUAUUCAUAUAUUGUGUGAAAUUGCAUGCAAUUUAGUAGGUUGUGCAUCACAAUGUACAGUAUGUUAACAUCAAUCCACAAGUGCUUGUUAUUACAGUAAUAACAUUUGAUCACACUUCUUCUUGCACUUGUUUUUUCUUGUAUGUGUGGGAAUGUUAUUCGUUCAAGGUCCAAGGUCUGAUGAGGACAAUAAUGGCAAAUAGAAUGAUUAACUGUGGCUAUAUUUAACCAUCAACACUAUUUGUCCAUUCCUAGUCUUCAUCAUCUGGGGAAAAUAAAGAUGUGGGAUCAACUUGUAUAAAGAGGUGAGAGUGUUGUCACUUAGAUGAUUCUAUUAUUAUAAAUCUUUUUUCACUGUUAUAGGUCAGUAUCUCUCUUCUUUCUUUCUUUCUUUCUUUCUUUCU